rnacentral:tRNA from 1 species
GCGGGUAUAGCACAACGGCUAGUGCAUCAGUUUUCCAAACUGAAAAUACGGGUUCGAUUCCCGUUGCCCGCU